GGCCCAGUAGCUCAGUUGAAUAGAGCGUCAGAUUCCGGUUCUGAAGGUCGGGGGUUUGAUCCCCUCCUGGGUCACCA
rnacentral:tRNA from 1 species